rnacentral:piRNA from 1 species
UAUGACUACUUUUCUUCCGUU